rnacentral:rRNA from 1 species
UGGGCAACCUGCCCCUGGCUCUGGGAUAACCCCGGGAAACCGGAGCUAAUACCGGAUACGAGACCGAUUGGCAUCUUUACGGUCUGGAAAGUUUUUCGGCCAGGGAUGGGCUCGCGGCCUAUCAGCUUGUUGGUGGGGUAACGGCCCACCAAGGCGACGACGGGUAGCCGACCUGAGAGGGCGACCGGCCACACUGGGACUGAGACACGGCCCAGACUCCUACGGGAGGCA